rnacentral:tRNA from 1 species
UGGCGCGUAGCUCAGUGGUAGAGCACCACGUUGACAUCGUGGUGGUCGGCGGUUCGAAACCGCCCGCGCCAACCA